rnacentral:rRNA from 1 species
AGAGUUUGAUCCUGGCUCAGAUUGAACGCUGGCGGCAUGCCUUACACAUGCAAGUCGAACGGUAACAGGGAGCUUGCUCCGCUGACGAGUGGCGAACGGGUGAGUAAUAUAUCGGAACGUACCUUUGAGUGGGGGAUAAGCUAGUCGAAAGAUUAGCUAAUACCGCAUACGAUCUACGGAUGAAAGUGGGGGAUCGCAAGACCUCAUGCUCAUAGAGCGGCCGAUAUCUGAUUAGCUAGUUGGUGAGGUAAAGGCUCACCAAGGCUUCGAUCAGUAGCUGGUCUGAGAGGACGACCAGCCACACUGGGACUGAGACACGGCCCAGACUCCUACGGGAGGCAGCAGUGGGGAAUUUUGGACAAUGGGGGCAACCCUGAUCCAGCAAUGCCGCGUGAGUGAAGAAGGCCUUCGGGUCGUAAAGCUCUUUUGUCAGGGAAGA